AAGUUGAAUGCAGGGGAAGGCCGCUGGGCUCCAGGGGACGGGAGAAAGGUUCCUUAUGAAAUAUUGAAGGAGAUUGGAGAUGCGGCCAGAGCACGUCUGCCCUUCCUCCUCAGCUCCUCCACCAGCCAACAAUGUGCUCGCUCUGGACGGGGAUCUCACAGUCCUGCCAGCUAAGAAAGCAGGAUGUUUCGGAGAUUCAAACCCUUCCUGUUGUGGUGUUUACUGAGGACGUCUUCUCAUGCAUUAUGUGAGUGAACGCCAUUUGAGGUCUAUGGGUGUAGAUGAGUGGUUCAGGACCAUGGACAGAGGCUCAGACAAGUGCACAGUCUGUUAUUGGAUGUUC